rnacentral:rRNA from 1 species
UACGUAGGGUGCAAGCGUUAAUCGGAAUUACUGGGCGUAAAGCGUGCGCAGGCGGUUUUGUAAGUUUGUCGUGAAAGCCCCGGGCUCAACCCGGGAAGUGCUUCUGAUACUGUUGAGCUUGAGUACUGGAGAGGAUAGUAGAAUUCCAGGUGUAGUGGUGAAAUACGUAGAUAUCUGGAGGAAUACCGGUGGCGAAGGCGGCUAUCUGGCCAUGUACUGACGCUGAGAUUCGAAAGCGUGGGGAGCAAACAGG